GAUGAACGCUGGCGGCGUGCCUAAUACAUGCAAGUCGAGCGAACAGAUGAGGAGCUUGCUCCUCUGACGUUAGCGGCGGACGGGUGAGUAACACGUGGAUAACCUACCUAUAAGACUGGGAUAACUUCGGGAAACCGGAGCUAAUACCGGAUAAUAUAUUGAACCGCAUGGUUCAAUAGUGAAAGACGGUUUUGCUGUCACUUAUAGAUGGAUCCGCGCCGCAUUUGCUAGUUGGUAAGGUAACGGCUUACCAAGGCAACGAUGCGUAGCCGACCUGAGAGGGUGGUCGGCCACCCUGGAACUGAGACACGGUCCAGGCUCCUACGGGAGGCAGCAGUAGGGAAUCUUCCGCAGUGGGCGAAAGCCUGACGGAACAACGCCGCGUGAGUGAUGAAGGUCUUCGGAUCGUAAAGCUCUGUUAUUAGGGAAGAACAAAUGUGUAAGUAACUAUGCACGUCUUGACGGUACCUAAUCAGAAAGCCACGGCUAACUACGUG
rnacentral:rRNA from 1 species